GGGGAAUAUUGGACAAUGGGGGAAACCCUGAUCCAGCAAUGCCGCGUGAAUGACGAAGGCCUUAGGGUUGUAAAGUUCUUUCACCUGUGAAGAUAAUGACGGUAGCAGGAGAAGAAGCCCCGGCUAACUCCGUGCCAGCAGCCGCGGUAAGACGGAGGGGGCUAGCGUUGUUCGGAAUGACUGGGCGUAAAGGGCGCGUAGGCGGUUUUUUAAGUGAGGCGUGAAAGCCCUGGGCUUAACCCAGGAGGUGCGUUUCAUACUGGAAGACUUGAGUACGAGAGAGGAAAGUGGAAUUUCUAGUGUAGAGGUGAAAUUCGUAGAUAUUAGAAAGAACACCAGUGGCGAAGGCGGCUUUCUGGCUCGUAACUGACGCUGAGGCGCGAAAGCGUGGGGAGCAAAC
rnacentral:rRNA from 1 species